UUUUUUUUUUUUUUUUUUUUUUUUUUUUUUUGGUGGGGGGUUGGGGAGGGGGAGGGCUUAAAGUUAUGGACCUCUCGAGGUAGUGAAGGCUAGUUGCAAAUGUGCUGCCCAUAUACAUAUUGCGAAAGACAGGUAAAUAUCUAGAGUUACAAAUGGUAAGUUUCUUGGCAAAUUCUAAUGUCACUUGAACUUGUACACAAAUUGAAUUUGGUACCUUGGCUGUUUCUUGUUGCGAAGGCUAGUGGUAAAAAUCUAAUGGAGGUACAAUGCAAUGUUUCUUGGAAUAUUCACAUGUCACCUGACUUGUACACAAAUUGAAUUUGGAAUCUUUUACUUUACUAUUGGCUGUUUUUUUCGCUUUUUCAUCAUAUUUAAGCAUUUCUAUGUCUGUGCUUCUCUUUUUCUUUUUCUUUUUCUUUUUCUUUUCCGACUUAAGUGGACAUUGAAGCUAUUGACUUGUUCCGAAGAUUUUUAUUUAAUUCAUUUUUCAUCAUAGUUUUGAUUGAUGAAACUCGAGCCGGUGUUAACGAGAGGCUGAAGGUUUGGAGACAGGCUCUUGAGUCUAAGGGUUUCAAGCUGAGCAGAAAGAAGACGGAAUACCUGGAGUGUAAGUUCAGCGCUGAGCCGGGAAAAGUGGUUGUGGAUGUGAGGCUUGACUCACAGGCCAUCUCAAGUAGAGGCAGCUUCAAGUACCUUGGGUCGGUUAUCCAGGGGGGAGGAGAGAUCGACGAGGAUGUCACACACCGUAUUGGGGUAGGAUGGAUGAAGUGAAGGUUAGCAUCUAGAGUCCUGUGUGACAAGAAAGUGCCAUCGAUACUCAAAGGUAAGUUCUAUAAAGUGGUGGUUAGACCGGCCAUGAUGUACGGGGCUGAGUGUUGGGAAGUUAAGAACUCACAUAUCCAGAAAAUGAGAGUAGAAGAAAUGAGGAUGUUGAGGUGGAUAUGCGGGCACACUAUGAUGGAUAAGAUUAGGAAUGUUGAUAUUCAGGAGAAGGUGUGCGUGGCUCCCAUUGAUGAAAAGAUGCGGGAAGCGAGGCUCAGAUGGUUCGGGCAUAUACAGAGGAGGAGCCCAGAUGCCCCGGUAAGGAAGUGUGAGCGGCUGGUUGUGGAGGGCACGAGAAGAAGUAGAGGGCGGCCGAAGAAGUAUUGGGGAGAGGUAAUCAGGCAGGACAUGGCGAGACUUCAGAUUUUCGAGAACAUGGAACUUGAUAGGAAGAUGUGGAGGUCGGGUAUUAGGGUUGUAGGUUAGAAGGUAGUUGAGUCUUGUCUUAUUUCGUACCGUUGUGAGACUAGUCUGGUAGAGUUUUUGUCUAAGCUAGCUAGUGAAAAUGUCGUGUCUUACUAUUUUGCGUUUCAGUGUCGGACCAAUUUAAUAGCUAUCGUUUUUGUUUUUGCUUUUUUUUCGUUUUUGCUUUGCAUCUUUCUUCUGGAUUUCAUGUUGUUCCUAUUUUUCCUAUAAUUUCUGUGGUGAUACUGAUAUUGUCUUAUUUUGUCUUUUUGUGCUCUUGAGCCGAGGGUCUUUCGGAAACAGCCUCUCUACCUUUUCGGGGUAGGAGUAAUGUCUGCGUAUACAUUACCCUCCCCAGACCUCACUAGUAAAAUUUCACUGGGUUGUUGUUAUUGUUGUUUCGCAGUAUAUGUAUUGUCAUGAUCGCAAUAAGUUAACGUGUCAAUAUUAUGAUGCAUAUGAAUAAAAUUUUAAAAUAAUCUCUCAAGUUUAGUUUUUUGUUUUUGGAUUGGUCCAAACAUGUGGAUACCCAACUUUAGAUGCCUCAUAGAAAUCAAGGUAUAAUUCUGUUAACAAGAUUUGCACUUCAUAGCUAUAGUGUAUAUUCCAUAAUCGCCCUACCAAAUUAGAGUCAUAAUUGAUUUGUGGAUGAGACUCAUAAUUAAGCUCCAAUACUACAAUUAAAGCAAUCUUGUGUGGCAAUUGAAAGGUAAAACUAUUAUUUGCAGCGAGACACAUGUUUGCUAUGUAACAGGAACCUACACCCCAAUGCCCAAUGCAAUCAUAUAGGCCAAAUGUCAGACUUUCUAAAUCUUCCUAUUAUUCCCGGUAGUUAUUACAAAUAAUAGUUUAACCUCACAAGGGAUAGAGCCAAGGCUGAAAUUCAGACGACUUAACAUUGUAAAAGAUUUUUCGUUCUCUUCUUCAUUUUCAUGUUUUUUUGUUAUGCGUCUAUGAGUAACUGGUUGUACUAAUGUUAGGUGAUGUUUGGCUAAAAUUUCAUGUUUUUGUAAAUAAUUUAUCUUGCAUUAUGUUUUGAUCUUGUUAAUUUUAGUGUGAAUACUUGUGACUCAAGCUUAAUAAUGGUAUUUAUAUGUAGAGUCAAUUGAAAGUGAUUUGGGGAGUUUGCAUGCAAAUUGACGUCAAAAAGGGAAGAUUUUGAAGGAAGUAUAAGUUUGGUGCCCAGAUUGGCGCUAGGCACCAACCAAAACGCCAAUGACAGAAGAUCAAAAAGUUUGUUGUCUAGGUCGACGCUAGGCACCAACCAAAACGCCAAAAGUUGAUUGUCCAGGUUGGCGCUAGGCACCAACCAAAACGCCAAUGACAGAAGACCAAAAAGUUUGUUGUCCUGGUUGGCGCCAGGCGCCAAGCGAGACGCCAAAGGGCGGAUUUUGUCCUAAUUCGGCUGGAACUUGGGAAUUUCAACCCUAAACAUCUCCAACAUGUAUAAAAGAGGUUCUAAACCUAUUUUGAGAGGCUGGACAUUUUUUGGAGGCAAGAACAUCACGUGGAACAACUUUUUGGAGGAGAAAAUCAUCGAGUUCUUUAUUCCUUCAUUUUUUCUUUGUAAUUUGUUUAUACAAAAUACUUGAAAAAUUGUUACUAGGAAUAUGAGUGACUAAGCACUCUAGUUUUUAAGGUUGUAGUUGACAUGAUUAUUAACGUUUAUUAAUUACAUCUUCGUUAAUUCGGAUUAUCAUCUCGUGGUUAUUUCUUUAAUUCUAGUUUUUACCUGUGACUUGUUGUAGCUACCAUUUCACUCUACUAUCUAUGCUAUGCUUGGGAAAGUCGUGUUUAGUUUAGAGUAGAAUUAAAGAGAGCUAGUUUCUGAACCUGUAGCUCGGGGAAUGAUUUUGCGGUGCGGAUAGGAAUAUGCCUAACAGUCUUGCUUAAUUGAAUACCGUAUUAUAAUCUGGAUUAACAAGUGUGGUUAUUGAAUUUAAUAGGACUGAUAAACCAACCACAACCCUGGAAUCUUCAUCUCCUCUGAUUAAAAUCGUAUUAUACACAUUUACAUUCUCGAAACAUUAUUCGUUACUUAUUUAAUUUCCGCAAUAGUAGAUUAAUCGAAAAAUAUCACUCUUGAUUAUCUUGGACAGUAAAUUAAUUUUAGUUUACUUAGUUAACAAUUACUCUAAACCUCUGUGGGUUCGACAUCCGACUUUCGAGUCACUUUAUUACUUGACGGCCACGUACACUUGCGUGUACUUGGGGAACCAACAAGUUUUUUGGUGCCGUUGUUAGGGACUUAGUUAUUGAUUGUUUAUUUAAGUUAAGCUUUUAUUCGUUAGUUGUUCAAGUUUUAAUUUUUAGUUUGCUUUAUUUGUGAUAACGCAGGUUCUUCUCUUGAAUUCGGAGGAGUAAAAGUGCGAACAACCUCCUUCCACUUGAUCUUGAAAUAGAACGAACACUUCACGGGGUAAGGAGGAAAGUCGAAGCUAGGACUAGAACAGAAGGAGAGUUGGACAUUGUAGUUCAACCUCAACCACUUGAGAUGGCAGGUCAGGAAGAGCGACCAGUGAUCGAGGCCGCAAGGCCUUAUCUUGCUCAUAUGACUCAGGCUUAGUGAAGCAUAAUAUCACGGGUCACUUUGAGCUCAAACAAUAUAUGGUACAACUUAUUAGUUCACAGGGCAGUAUGUGGGUUUAUCUCAUGAAGAUCCGCAGCGGCACAUUCAGAAUUUUACUAAGAAGACAAAUUCGCUGAGGACCAGAUUCUUGGGUUUCAACAACGAGAUGGCGAGACUCUUAGUCAAGCUUUGGAAAGAUACAAAAAGUUACUCAGAGACUGCCCACAUCAUUGUCAAACUGAUGAGGUGUUAGGUCACACUUUCGUUGAUGGGUUGGACGAGACAUCGAAGAUGAAUCUUGACUCGGCAUGUGGGGGUAGUUGCAUGGCAAGACCGUAUAGUGAAAUCCAGAUCCUGCUAAACAAUUUCAUUGCUAAUGAUAAUAAUUAGCAAGGAGAUAGGGAACCACGAAGAGCACUUAAACAGAAGGCAUCAGGUGUAAUUGAGCUUGAUAAUUUCUCAGCCAUGAGGGCAGAUAUAUCUAGAUUAGCAAAUCGGAUGAAUAAAAUGAUAAUGCACCAAGCACAACAGAUACAACAUGUGCAACAAAUGUCUACUUGCUGUGAGUUAUGUGGUGAAGGUCACACAAGUGACAUAUGCCCCGUGAAUCCUGAAUCCAUCUAGUAUGUUGGACAACAAGCUAGAGGGCCGCUGAAUCAAAAUGCUCAAUAUGGUAACACAUACAACUCGAACUGGAGGAAUCAUCCUCACUUCUCUUGGGGUGGAAAUCAGAAUAACAGGCCUCAAACUAUUUACAAUCAGCCACCUAAACCCCCACAACAAGCAAAGGAGAGUUUGACUGAUAUGAUGAAAAAGCACUUGAUAGACAAUCAACAGUUGCGCACAGAGUUCAGAAAUCUAGAGAGGCAGUUUGGGAAAAUGGCUAACAAUCAGAAAACUAGACCUGCUGGAGCUCUGCCAAGUGAUACAUAGAAAACUCCUCAAGUCAAUGCAGUGAUGUUGAGAAAUGGGAGAGAGUUUGUAGAAGUGCCUAAGAAGAAAAAGGAGUCGUCUGAGCUUGAAGAAGAAAGAGUGCCAAAACCUGUAGAGGUAGAUGAGAAAAAUAAAACAGAGUCUAAGCAUAUAUCAGAGUGGGUGCCACCCCUUUUCCUCAAAGAUUGAGAAAGAAGAAUGAUGACCACAAAUUUCUAUAUAUGCUGAAGCAGAUACACUUGAACAUCCCUUUGGUGGACAUGCUCUGUAAUGUCUCAAAAUAUGUAAAAUAUAUUAAGGAUAUAGUGGCAAAUAAAAGGAGGUUAACUGAGUUUGAGACUGUCUCACUUACUGAGGAGUGCACUCCCAGGAUUCAACAUAAUCUUCCAUGAAAGCUUAAGGAUCCGGGUAGUUUUACCAUUCCCGUGAGGAUUGGUGAAAUUUAUGUGGGUAGAGCAGUAGAGCCUUAUGUUAUUUGGGUGCAAGUAUCAAUGUGAUGCCGUUGUCAGUGUUCAAACAAUUAGGGCUAGGAGCUUCGAGACCUACCACGGUGAUACAACAGUUAGCUGAUAGAUCUUAUGUUUAUCCUGAGAGGGCAAUUGAGGACGUCUUGCUGCAGAUUAGGAAGUUUAUUUUCCCUACUAAUUUUAUCAUCAUGGACUACGAGGCUGAUAAGUUAGUUCCUAUAAUCUUGGGACAACUUUUGUUGUCCACUGGAGAUGCAAUUAUCAAAGUCCUAGAAGGUAAGAUGAUCAUGAGGGUGUACAAAGAAGAAGCAGUCUUUAAUGUAUAUCGAUCCAUUCAUUUGCCUCGUCAUUACGAGUACCUUGCCAUGAUUUCUGUAGUGGAAAUAAAUGAAGCAGUCGUGGAUCCAAGUGCAUUUAAAGAAGAUGCACUAGAAAAGGCAUUGAUGUUGUUCAAUCACUUGGAACUUGAAGAAGAGGUUGAGGAGAUGAUGCAAAUUCUGGAUGCAUCUUGCGAAUACAUAAGAGAAAGAUCCCAAUUUGAGCCUCUGGAUAGGCCAAUUGUCCCGCUCCCUAAACCCUCAGUUGAGGAGGCCCCAAAACUGGAACUUAAGCCCUUAUCGUAUCAUCUUCAUUAUGCAUAUUUGGGAAGUUCUAACACUUUGCCUGUGAUUGUUUCCUCUCAUUUGUCUAACUUGCAGGAAGAAAAGCUAUUAAGGGUACUGAGGGAGCACAAGCGUGCCAUUGGUUGGACAAUGUCUAACAUAAAGGGUAUUAGCCCAACAUUCUGCAUGCACAAAAUACUCAUGGAAGAGUGACACAAGCCUAGCAUGGAACAUCAACGCCGCCUAAAUCCAAUCAUGAAAGAGGUGGUAAGAAAAGAAGUGAUUAAGAGGCUCGAUGCAGGUAUAGUGUUUCCUAUCUCCGAUAGUAAGUGGGUAAGCCUUGUCCAAUGUGUACCUAAACAUGGGGGUAAGACUGUUGUAGUGAAUGAACAAAAUGAAUUAAUCCCAACUAGGACUGUGACCGGUUGGCGAAUAUGCAUAGAUUAUAGGAAUUUGAAUAAUGCUACACGAAAAUAUAACUUCCCUCUCCUUUUCAUUGAUCAAAUGCUUGACAGGUUAGCUGAACAGGAAUACUAUUGUUUCCUUGAUGGCUAUUCGGGGUAUAAUCAGAUUGCUAUUACCCCGGAAGAUCAAGAAAAGACCACUUUUACAUGCCCUUAUAGCACUUAUGCAUUUAAGAGAAUACUAUUUGGGUUAUGUAAUGCACCUGCGACUUUUCAAAAGUAUAUGAUGGCUAUUUUUACCGAUAUGGUGGAACGAUUUGUGAAGGUCUUUAUGGAUGAUUUUUCUGUAUUUGGUCCCUCUUUUGAUGAAUGCUUGACCAAUUUUGCUAAAGUGCUUGCUAGGUGCAAGAAGACUAAUCUGGUACUGAAUCGAAAAAAGUGCCAUUUUAUAGUACGUGAAGGUAUAAUGUUGGGGCACAAGGUGUCCAAAGAUGGACUGGAAGUUGACAAGGCUAAGGUGAAAGCAAUUGAAAAGCUGUCACCGCCAAUUUCAGUGAAAUGAGUUUGGAUUUUUCUUGGACAUGCAGGUUUUUAUCGCCGAUUUAUAAAGGAUUUCUUAAAAUUUUCCUCUUCUUUAUGCAGGUUGUUAGAGAAGGAUGUGUUGUUCAAGUNNNNNNNNNNNNNNNNNGUGAGUGCACCAAUCAUAGUGGCUCCUGACUGGAACGAGCCAUUCGAGCUGAUGUGUGACGCUAGUGAUGGUGCAAUUGGGGCCGUAUUGGGCCAGAGGAAGAGCAAAAUAUUUCACUCCAUUUACUACGCAAGCAAGACUCUCACUCCUGCUCAAAUAAAAUAUACUGUGAAAAGGAGUUGCUUGCUAUAGUGUGGGCGUUCGAUAAAUUUUACACCUAUUUGGUUGGUACCAAAGUCAUCGUGUACACAGACCAUGCAAUCAUCCGAUUUUUGUUCAAAAAGAAAGAUGAUAAACCAAGGCUAAUCCGUUAGGUUUUACUCUUGCAGGAAUUUGACUUGGAGAUCCGAGACCGUAAAGGAACAGAGAAUCAAGUGGCCGAUCACUUGUCCAGGUUAGAAACUCGGAGUCAUGUAGCUGAGGGAGAUGUCAUCAAAGAAACCUUCCCAUAUGAGCAAUUGUUGGCCAUUACUGUUGGGGAGGUGCCAUGGUAUGCAAAUUUUGUAAACUAUCUGGCAAGUGGAGAAAUGCCGCCUGACCUUGAACCUCAUGCGAAAAAGAAGUUAUUGCGAGAUGUAAGAUCAUAUGUGUGGGAUGAGCCAUUUCUGUUCAAAUCUUUUACCGAUCAGUUAAUGAGAAGAUGUGUGCUCGAAUCUGAAAUAAAUGCUAUCUUACAUGACUGUCAUGCAUCGCCUUAUGGUGGACAUCAUGCGGGUGACAAAAUGGCAGCCAAGGUGUUGCAAUAGGAUUUAUAAUGGACUAGGUUGUUUAAAGAUGCUCAUGAGUUUGUGAGGAGGUGUGAUAGGUGCCAGAGAACAGGAACAAUUAUGAAAAGGCAUAAGAUGUCAUUACAUGGUUUUAUGGAGGUUGAAAUUUUUGAUGUGUGGGGAAUUGAUUUUAUGGGUCUGUUUCCCUCGUUCAAUGGGUGCAAGUACAUUUUGGUGGCCGUUGACUAUGUGUCGGAGUGGGUGGAGGCCAUUGCUCUUCCUGCCAAUGAUGCCAAGGUUUUGGUUAACUUUGUGACAAAACAUAUCUUUACAAGGUUUGGUACUCCGAGAGUGAUGAUAAGUUAUUGGGGCACCCAUUUCUGUAACAAGCUAUUGGACAAUGUCUUAGCGAAAUACGGGGUCAAACAUAAGGUUGCGACUGCCUACGAUCCUCAAACUAGUGGACAAGUUGAAGUGUCAAAUAGAGAAAUAAAGCAGAUUUUGGAGAAGACGGUUAGUGCAAGUAGGAAAGAUUGGGCUGCAAAGCUUAAUGAUGCGCUAUGGGCAUACCGGACCGCCUACAAAACUCCAAUUGGAGCCUCCCCUUACAAGCUGGUUUACGGUAAGGCAUGCCAUUUACCGGUGAAACUUGAGCACAAGGCCUAUUGGACGAUAAAGAAGUUGAACUUUGAUGCAGAAUUAGCGGGGGAAAAACGAUUGAUGCAAUUGAACGAUGAUGAGUUUCGUUUGCACGCGUAUGAGAAUGCCAAGUUAUAUAAAUAAAAGACCAAUCGCUGGCAUGAUAAGAAUAUCCACAAUCACGAGUUCGAACCGGUCCAACUAGUUCUCUUGUUCAAUUCGAGGUUGAGACACUUUUCGGGGAAGCUCAAUCAAGAUGGUCGGGCCCGUUUUAGGUAGUGAGAGUCACUCCACAUGGUGUAAUUGAGUUGUGCAUCGUAGGUGGCGAGAGAACGUUCUUAGUGAACGGACAGAGAAUAAAGCACUACUAUGGAAGUGAUUUUGAUUGUCAGAAGUCGAAGGUGUUACUUGCCAAUGAUUAGACGAGAUUAUGCAUCGUACCGCGAUAUUAAAUCAGGUGCUUGUUGGGAGGCAACCCAACUUUACUGCUUUCUUUUAUUUUUAUUAUAUUAUUUUUGUAGUGUCUAUUUUUAUUUUGUAGGAUUAUAAGCAUAGGAAGUAAAUCCAUUGGAAGAGUGCAAAAGUGAGCUAGAUGGUGAGAACUAAGUGUGAGGUGCCCACACAAAGGACCAUGCAUGUGGGAAGUCUGAGUACCCCGUGAGCCGCUAUUGCUUCGACCUUUGGCCUUUCAGGGAGUUUCUCGUCUACCCUGUUAUUAUUUUAUUUUAUUUGUGCAUUGGGGAUACUGCACUCUUUUAAGUGUGGGGUGGGAGAAUUCCUCUAGAUUAUUAGUAGAAGUAUGUUAGAAAAAUGUUAACUUCUUAUUUUGAUUUUAGCUUCUUAGUUUUGUUUUCGUAGUUGUAUACAUUUUUUUUAAAUAUGGAAAAAAAAAUAUGAAAGAAAAAAAAAGUAGAAAAUUGGACUUUUCCCGAUGAUGGAUCUCCUAGACAGUUUUCUCGAGGGAUUAAAGGCUAAACAAAAAUCCAAAAAUAGGUCUUUUAGUUUCCUUUAGGUAGUAAUAAUCCCUCGUGGUUUUUCUUUGUGCCUUGGUUCUUUUCCAUAGGAUGUAGUUUGAACCGGGUAGUAGUUAUUUCUUUUAUUUUCUUGAUUUAGUGUAGGACAUAAAAACAAAUGGAGGAAGAAAGAUGAGAGUCCUAUGUGCCCUUGACUUGUUUGAUAGGAGCAUAUUUAGUUUUAGGCAUGUGUAGUAUAUUCCCUAUAUUUUGAAAUUGAUCAUGAUACCUUUAUAAAUUGGAUUGCAUGUCUCAUAACGCCUAUGUCUCGUAUUCUUGACUUAUGUUCACUUUAUACUUAAUGCUUAACAUCUUGUGGCUCCGCGAAUACUUGCAUUAGUUUGAGAGUCAGAAUGAGACUGUCCUUAGUGAUUCAUGUACCAUGUGUGAAGUCAGAUUUUUGUGUAGUCCAUGUCAUUGAACUUGUGUCUAAAACUUGCCCGAUAUGUGAGUUGAAGCGAAAUUUUAGGUGAGACUCGAUUUGAAAAAUGAUUUUAGGCUGUCUUUGUUCUUUUUGAGUUUAAUAUUUAUCACAAAUAAAAUCUAUCCCUAUUAAUCAUUCUGAGCCUAUAGACUUUAUUUGGCACCCACAUUACAAGCCUAUAUCCUUGUUUGUUCUUAAUUGACAUUGUUUUGAUCCUUUUACCUCUUAAAGCACUUUAAUUGUAAAAUGAGCGUUAAAAGAAGUAAGGAGGGAAUUUUGGGUGGCUUUCGAGUGGAACCAAUGAAAGGAAGAAAGGUGCACUUGUUUUGUAAAAGAAUACACCACUAGCAAAAAUUGUAAAGAAAAAAAGAAUCUGGAAAAAAAGAUAAGGAAAAUAUAGAUGAAUAAAUUAACAUCUUAUUCUUGCUAGUGGGGUAUAAAUUAAAGUAGUGCUUAAAGAAAAAUAGAUAAUCUUUUGGGUGAUGUUAGUUGUGAAAUUGAAGUUGAGAUUGAAGAAUAUGCACUUAAAGUUAAUUAUGUGAUGUGUUAAAGUGCUUAGGAGGGUGAACCGCUAUUUCUAAUUAUAUCCUACCUAUCUCUUAGCCCACAUUACAACCAUAAAAAAGUCCUAAUUGAUUUUAGAUUGAGUAAGCCUACAUUAGUAGAGAUUUACAUUAAGGGCAAGCCUACGGUAACAAUUGCAUGCAUGUGACUUCUUUUGUGAGAAUGAGCGAUUUUCUUUGAUAUACAUGAAUCCUUAAAAUAUAUUUGAGCAUUUGAUUUGAAUGUACGGAUUCAGCUUACUCUCUUAUUCUUGUUGUGAGGGCACAUGGUUUCACGAGGGAUAAGAACAUUAUUAGACUUCUCUAAGGAUGUUGGGUGUUCAAGCCAUGAGUGCAUGGUGACAUUGAGUCAGUUAUUGACGCUAGGAUUGUUAUGAACAUGUUUUCUUUGCUGUGAAUAUUUUCAAAGAAUAGCAAAAGUUAAAGGGAAGUGUGUUCUUAAUGCAUAUGCUACAGUUUAAUUGUUGCUAUCAACCUUGGUCAUUGGUGUCGUGUGCUUCAAAUGUGGUAAAUAAAAAGUGCUCAAAGAUAGAGUGAAUUGUUGGUUACUCAAGGAGCAAGAGCUUAAGUGUGGGGUGGUGAUGUUUGGCUAAAAUUUUAUAUUUUUGCAUAUAAUUUGCCUUGCAUUAUGCCUUCAUCUCGUUAACUUUAGUGUGAAUAUUUAUGACUCAAGCUUAAUAAUGGUAUUUAUAUGUGUAGGAGUCAAGUGGAAGUGAUUUGGGGAGUUUGCAUACAAAUUGACGUCAAAAAGGAAAGAUUUUGGAGGAAGUAUAAGUUUGAUGCCCAGGUUGGCGCUAGGAACCAACCAAAAGGCCAAUUACAGAAGACCAAAAAUUUUGUUGUCCAGGUUGGCACUAGGCACCAACCAAAACGCCAAUGACAGAAGACCAAAACGUUUGUUGUCCUAGUUGGCGUCAAGCGAGAUGCCAAAGGGCGGAUUUUAUCCUAAUUCAGCUGGGACUUGGGGAUUUCAACCCUAAACGUCCCCAACAUGUAUAAAAGGGGUUCUAAACCUAUUUUUGAGAGGUUGGACAUUUUUUGGAGGCAAAAACAUCACGUGGAACAACAUUUGGAGGAGAAAAUCAUCGAGUUCUUCAUUCCUUCAUCUUUCUUUGUAAUUUGUUUAUGCAAAAUACUUGAAAACUUGUUACUAUGAACAUGAGUGGCUAAGCACUCUAGUUUCUAGGGUUGUGGUUGACAUAAUUAUUAACGUCUAUUAAUUACAUCUUUCUUAAUUCGGAUUAUCAUCUUGUGGUUGUUUCUUUAAUUCUAGUUUUAACUUGUGACUUGUUGUAGCUACCAUUUUACCCUACUAUCUAUGCUAUACUUGGGAAAGCCGUGGUUAAAUUAGAGUAGAAUUAAAGAGAGCUUGUUUCUGAACUUGUAGCUCGGGGAACGAUUUCGCGGUUAGGAUAGGAAUAUACCUAACAGUCUUGCUUAGUUGAAUAUCGUAUUAUAUUCGUUCAUGAUAUAUUUAAUACCAUAAGAAUAUAUGAUUGAUAUAUUAUGGAUAGGUGAGUAAUAUUAUGGGAACAUACUAUUCAUAUAAACGAUCCGGUCAAUUAGCAAGCAUUAAUAAUCUGGCUUAAUAAGUGUGAUUAUUGAACUUAAUAGGAUUGAUAAACCAACCAUAACCCUGGAAUCUUCAUCUCCUCUUAUUAAAAUCUCAUUAUACACAUUUGCAUUCUCGAUAAAUUAGUCGUUACUUGUUUAAUUUCUGCAAUAAUAGAUUAAUCGAAAAACAUCACUCUUGAUUAUCUUUAACAGUAAAUUAAUUUUAGUUUUCUUAGUUAACAAUUACUCUAAGUCUCUGUGGGUUCGACAUCCAGCUUUUGAGUCACUUUAUUACUUGACGGUUACGUAUACUUGCGUGUACUUGGGGAACCAACAUUAGGUCAAUUCCUCUCACUCUUAAAAUACAUGAAAUAAUAAAGAUAUGAAUUGCAUAAAUAAAAAUGGAAAAGGGGAUGUUAAUGCCAUCUUCCUUUAGCGGGAGUCACCCUAUCUAUUCAAAUAAAUUCGUAAAUGGAUGUUAAAGAUUCCCCCCUUGCUCAUAGUUCUUGAAAAUAAUUAUAUUAGCAAUAGCUUGGUAAAGCAAAUAACAUGUGUUCCAUGUUUUCUAUAUAUUUAUGGAUUUUCACAUACAAAACUCUCAUACGAAUUAAAGACUGCUGUCAAAUUACAGAAAUAAAUUAAAUCAAUAAUGUCUGCAAAUAUCUAGGAAACAUACAGCUCUGCGAAAUGCAUAGCCACCGUUCCAAUCACCAUCAUACCCUAAAUUAUUGAACUCUAAGCUUUGCAACUCGUUCAUGUCAUUUUCCAUCUUCCUUAAAAUUUGCUCAAGUUUUAUAUGCCAUUUGUAUGAUGCAUAUGGCCAUAAUUUACGGCGUGCUAGUCAUAAAAACAUUUGCUGUACAACUAAGACUAGUUCUUUUUCUUUCUUUUUCUUUCUUUUUCCUUUGUUUUCUUCUCUUUAUUCUUAUUAUAAUAAUAAUUGACGGUCACUACUAUAUUGAAAUGCAGUUUCCAAUAGACAGACCAGGGCGGAUCUAUAAUUAGAACCUAUGCGUUAUCAUGUAAACUAAGAGUUCACCAAACUAUAUAGAAAAUCUGGUUCUCUAUCAGUUCCCACAGAAUACACAGCAGUAAAUAAAUAACACAACAAUAUUUACGUGAAAAACUCUCAACUCACGGGAUUAAAAACCACGACCUACACUCGUAGGAUUUCAACUUCACUAACAGAGCAACUUUAGAUUAGAACCUUUUAUAACUAGGAAUUAAACUCUUAAUACUUCACCUACUUAUAAUAACUAUAUUACAAGUCUCUUUGUAAUAACUCUAUUACAAAGCUAAUCAUUUUGACUAACUCUAGCCAACACAAGCACAAAGUUUAUGGUUUAUAAAGUGUCCUAGGAGAUGCUUCUAAAUAAGCAGACUCUUUUUCGCAGAAGCGAGUCCGCAGAAGCGGACUCUUGUCCGCAGAAGCGAGCGAGCCCGCUGAAGCGACCCCAACUUCCGCAAAAGCGGAACCGCACCUGCGGUAAAGUGUCCGCAGAUGCGAAAAGACCUGGACAGAACCCAUAAAAUCGGAAGUUAGCUAUUUUUACUCAUUUUUGAGUUUUGAGUCUCGGAUUUAGGCGAUACCAAAGCAAUUUUUCAUGACUUUGAAUGGGGUAAGUAUUCUAUAACCAAGAGUGAUUUUAUUUCAUAAAUCCAUGUCUAUAUUCAUCAUUUAUUUCGGAUUUAAAUGGAAGAAAUUGAAAAUUUUGUAAAACUUUCCAAAAACGAAAAUUUAAGAUUUGAAGGUCCAUUUACAUCAAAUUUUGAUAAUAUUUGUAUGGUUGGACUCGUCUCGGAACGGGUAUUUGGAUUUCGUAAGGUUUUUCUAGAUUCGAGAUGUGGGCCCCACUAUUGAUUUUUAGAUGAAUUUCGGAUUUUAAUCCGAAAAAUUAGUAAAUUAAUAUGGAAUUAAUUUUUACAAUUUGUAUUGAGUAUAUUGAAUUGUUUAUGACUAGAUUUGAGGAUUUCGGACAUGAAUUCACAAGGCAAAGGUUUAUUGGAAUCUUGAAUUUGGCUGCAAGUGAGGUAAGUGUCAUGGUUAACCUUGACUUGAAGGAGUAGGAUUUAUUUAUCUAUUUGCUACGUGAUUUAAUGUGCAGGUACAAUAUAUAUGUGAGGUGACGAGUACUUAUGCAUUGUGGUUUAGUCAAAGCAUGCUGGAGGAAUUUAUUUUAUUUUGAAUAAUUACUUAUUUUAUUAAGAUAUUUCUGCUUAAGUUUAUUAUUGAUUAUUUGAUCAUUAUUCAUGAAAUUAUUUUACAAUUUAAUUAUUGUUGAAUAUGGUGAGAAAGAGUGUAAAAGCACGAAGGGUGAUGUCGUGCCAUUUUUAAUAUUUAUACUAUCAUUGCCAUGGUGAGAAAGAGUGUAAAAGCACGAAGGGUGUUGCCGUGUUAUUUUUUAGUAUAAAAGUACGAAGGGUGAUGUCGUGCCAUUUUCAGAGAGUGUAAAAGCACGAAGGGCGAUGUCGUGCCAAAAGAGAGUUAAAGCACGAAGGGUGAUGUCGUACUAAUUAUUAUUAUUUAUUUAUCAAUUUAUAGGAGGAAUGAGAGUAAAAGCACGAAGGGUGGUGUCGUGCCAUUUUCAUAUUAUCAGUUGCUCAUUUUAUUAUUGAGGAAUUAAUUGGCUACUAAGUGAUAAUUCUCCUGCUGAAAUUAUUAUAUCAACCCCCUUCGCAUAUUCCCUCCCAAAUUUAUAAAGUGUUAUUUAUUGUGUGAUGACCCAAAAGGUCAUCCUAUGAUUAGAACUCGAAUUUGUAUUUUUAAACCUUAAAAAUCUUAUUUUUACCCACCUCGAUUUGCGUGCGUAGUCCGGACAUUUUUUCAGAAAGCUUUUAUGUUGAAAAUUGACGAAAAUAAGAAUUUAUACCUAAAAGUUGAUUUUAGUUGACUUCGGUCAAUAUAUUUGGUAAACGCGCCCGGAUCCAAGUUUUGACGGUCCCGGUGGGUCCGUAUCAAAUUAUGGGAUCUGGACGUAUGCCCGGAAUCGAAUUCAGAGGUCCCUAGCUCAAGUUUUAAAUUUUUGAUGAAAAUUAAAAGUCUAAAAAUUAAUUAUUUUUAAGAAUUGAUUGAUGUUUGGCAUUGUUAGUGCCGGGUCCGUAUUCUGAUUUCGGAGCCCGGUACAGAUUUAUUAUGAUAUUUAAGACUUGUCUGUGAAAUUUAGUGAGAAACGGAGUUAGUUUGACGUGAUUCGGACAUCCAGUUGAGAAAAUAAAAAUUUUAAAGCGUUCUUGAGAAUUUUAUUUGAUUUGGUGCUAAAUUCAUAGUUUUAAGUAUUAUUUUGGCGAUUUGAUUGCGCGAGCAAGUUCGUAUGAUAUUUUUAGACUUGUGUGCAUGUUUCGUUUGGAGCCCCGAGGGCUCAGGUGAGUUUCGGAUAGGUCACGAGUAACCAUCGCGAACGUGAGCUGUGUCUCACGAACGCGAAGGCUUGGCAGCCAGUACCCUUCGCGAACGCGAUGAACACUGUCGCCUAACACUUAAUAGAAUCUAAAAACGGGAUUUUAGCCAAAAACUCAUUUUUCUCAAAAACCAAACGGUGAGAGGCGAUUUUUCAAGAGUCAUUUCUUCCCCAAAUUANNNNNNNNNNNNNNNNNNNNNNNNNNNNNNNNNNNNNNNNNNNNNNNNNNNNNNNNNNNNNNNNNNNNNNNNNNNNNNNNNNNNNNNNNNNNNNNNNNNNNNNNNNNNNNNNNNNNNNNNNNNNNNNNNNNNNNNNNNNNNNNNNNNNNNNNNNNNNNNNNNNNNNNNNNNNNNNNNNNNNNNNNNNNNNNNNNNNNNNNNNNNNNNNNNNNNNNNNNNNNNNNNNNNNNNNNNNNNNNNNNNNNNNNNNNNNNNNNNNNNNNNNNNNNNNNNNNNNNNNNNNNNNNNNNNNNNNNNNNNNNNNNNNNNNNNNNNNNNNNNNNNNNNNNNNNNNNNNNNNNNNNNNNNNNNNNNNNNNNNNNNNNNNNNNNNNNNNNNNNNNNNNNNNNNNNNNNNNNNNNNNNNNNNNNNNNNNNNNNNNNNNNNNNNNNNNNNNNNNNNNNNNNNNNNNNNNNNNNNNNNNNNNNNNNNNNNNNNNNNNNNNNNNNNNNNNNNNNNNNNNNNNNNNNNNNNNNNNNNNNNNNNNNNNNNNNNNNNNNNNNNNNNNNNUGAUAUGAGAGUUAAUGCACGAAGAGUGAUGUCGUGCCGUUUCUAUUAAUUUUAUGGUGAGAUUGAGAGUAAAAGCACGAAGGGUGAUGCCGUAUAUUUUUUCUUACUGUAUUCACUAUUCCUGUUGUUUCAUGGUAUAUUGACUGCUUCGGUGAUUAUUCUAUUGUAGUUCUUUAUCUUGUAUUCGCCUCAGUAUGUUCCCCUCCCGACAUUUCCUGUUUAAUUCUUCAUCUCUGCUAUUUGUAAAUACAUUGUUAAAUUGUACAUGUUAAUUUAUAGGUGCCUUGCCUUAGCCUCGUCACUACUUCAUCGAGGUUAGGCUCAACACUUACCAGUACAUGGGGUCGGUUGUACUGAUACUGAUCGAGAUUUUGCUAUUGGUCUGCUGUCCGGAUACUCAAGAUAGAUCUGUCGGCGUUCACAGACCUUGAAGUCCCCAUCUAUCUUUUCUGUUCUACUGUUUCUUUCAUUUAGACAGUUGUAUUUCUUUCAGACUAUUUCUUGUAGUAAAUUCUAGAAUGCUUAUGAAUUAUGACUCCAGAUCUGGGGGUAGUAAUUAAUACAGUUUUAUAAUAUUUCGUACUUAUUAUAUUUCAUCUUAGUUAAUUAUUGUUAUUUAUUGAAUGGAAAUAAGGAAUUGGUUUAACGAUUUUCUAACGUUGGUUUGCCUAGCAAGUGAAAUGUUAGGCGCCAUCACGGUCCCGUCGGUGGGAAAUUUCAGGUCAUGAAAUAUUGUUUUAUUGUUGCUUCGUAUCUGUAUAUACUUGUAAAGGUUGUUUACAUACGUGUCCUGCCAUAGCCUGGUCACUACUUCGUCGAGGUCAGGCUCGACACUUACGGAGUACAUGGGAUCGGUUGUACUCAUACUAUACUCUACACUUCUUGUGCAGAUUUUGGAGUUGGUCCCAGCGGCGUACCAUAGAUGUGCUCGGAUUCAGCUACUCAGAGGAAACUUGAGGUAUAACUGCACAGCGUUCGCAGUUCUGAAGUCCCCUUCUAUCUUAUUUUAGCUGUGUUUUAUCUUUCAAAUGACUUGAAUUUUAUUCAGACCUUUAUCUGUAUUAUUCUAGUAGCUCGUGCACUUAUGACACCAGAUUCGGGGAUAUAUUGUGAUGAUUCGUUAGUUAUGGGCUUCCGCACUUUAUUUCAGUAAUUAACUUCUGUUUAAUUUAAUUUGCUUAAAAAUGGUUAAGAUUAUUUUAACGUUGGCUUGCCUAGCAAGUGAAAUGUUAGGCGCCAUCACGGUCCUAAAGGUAGGAAUUUUGGGUCGUGACAGUUAGUAUCACAGCCCUAGGUUACUUAAGUCUUAUGAGUCACGAGCAAGCUUAGUAGAGUCUGAAGGAUCGGUACGGAGACGUAUGUACUUAUCUUUCAGAGGCUAUGAAGUUUAGGAACAAUAUCACUUCUUUCUUAUUUUGUCGUGCGAUUUUAUUCUAUCAUCGAUGAUUGAACCAUUAUAUUUUUAUUCUCUCGCAGGUGUUGAGAACACGUAAUACAUCUACCGAUGGAUAGGGACCAGAGCCCCUAGUGGUAACUAUGACUAGGGGUAGAGGUUGAGGCCAAGGUCGUGCUAGAGGCCGAGGCAGAGGCAGAGGUAGAGCUCAGUCUAGAGCUCGAGCAUCAUCACCUAUUGUAGAACCUCGGGUGGAUCUUCAGGUGGAGGUUCCAGUUCAGACUGUACUAGUUGGACCAGUUCAGGUCCCGGAAGGAUUCAUAGCUACUUCAGUGUUUCAGGACAGUCUAGUCCGUUUGGUGAGUCUUAUGGAGGGCGUGGCCCAGAAUGGUACGUUUCCAGUAACACCAGCCAUCUCACAGGCUGGGGGAGGAGAAGAAACUCCCACUACUCCCGCUCCGGAGAAGAUGGCUCCCCAGUAUCAGGUCCAGCAGCCCCGCCAGUUAGGGUAGUUCAGCCAGUUGUUGCGGCACAGACCGGUGAUAGGCCUGCCAUGUCUUAUGAGGCCUUAUUGAGACUGGAUAAGUUUACUAAUCUCUUUCCAGUUCACUUAAGUGGUACACCUUCUGAGGACCCACAUGAUUAUCUUGACCGCUGCCAUGAGGUAUUGCGGAACAUGGGUAUAGUUGAGACCAAUGGGGUCGAUUUUGCUGUAUUUCAGAUGACGGGUUAUGCUAAGAGGUGNNNNNNNNNNNNNNNNNNNNNNNNNGAGGAUCAAGAUGGUUCUUGCACAUGAGAGAGGACAGGGGUCUGAUAAGAGGCCUCGUCAGUUCAUUGGGUUCAUUGGUGCCUCGUAUGGAGGCAGGGGUAAUUUUGGUAGAGGCCAUUCUCCCAGGCCGUUUCAUUCGGCACUCCAGGCAUCCCACAUCACGGCCCUUAUGUGUAACAUUCCGGCCAGCUAGCUUACAGUGCACCACCAGCUCAUAUUAAUUCACCUCCAGUACGGAGUCAUCAGAGUGGUUAUCCACGUCGACAUGGCCAGUUCCAGGGUCAGCAGUCACAAUAGCGGAAGACAUGUUAUACUUGUGGUGAUCCGAGACACAUUGCUAGAUUUUGCCCUCGGGCAUCGGGCAUCGGGCAGUUCACAGCAGCAGAGUUCCCGUGCUAUGGUUCCAGCACCAGCUAUUCUGCCACCCGCCUAGCCAGCUAGGGGCAGGGGUCAGACAGCUAGAGGUGGAGGUUAGGUUGUUAGAGGUGGAGGCUAGCCAGUUAAAGGCCGUCCCAGGGACGCGGUUCAGAGUGGUGGGGCCCAGCCCUGAUUCUAUGCUUUUCCAUCCAGGCCUAAGGCCUAGUCAUCCAAUGCAGUGAUCACAGGUAUUGUUCCAAUUUGCCAUAAAGAUGCUUCAGUUCUAUUUCAUCCAGGAUCUACUUAUUCCUAUGUGUCCUCCUAUUUUGCUUCAUACCAGGUUAUGCCUCAUGAUUCUCUGAGUGCUCUUGUGUGUGUGUCCACACCGGUGGGAGAUUCUAUUGUAGUAGAUCAUGUCUAUCGUUCGUGUGUGGUUACUAUUGGGAGUCUUGAGACUAGCAUAGAACUUCUACUUCUUGAUAUGGUAGAUUUUGAUGUAAUCUUGAGUAUGGAUUAGUUGUCCCCUUAUCACGCUAUAUUGGAUUGUCACACCAAAACGGUGACCUUAGCCAUGCCGGGGUUACCUCAACUAGAGUGGAAAGGGACUCUUGGCAAUUCUACCAGCAAGGUUAUCUCUUAUGUGAAAAAUCGGUGUAUGGUCGAGAAAGGGUGUCUAGCUUAUUUGGUUUAUAUUCGUGAUCCCAGCGCGGAAGUUCCUUCUAUGGAUUCAGUUCCAGUUGUCAAUGAAUUUCUAGACGUAUUUCUUGCAGAUCUGCCAGGGAUGCCACCCGAUAAAGAUAUUGACUUCUGUAUUGAUUUAGCUCCGGGCACUCAGCCCAUUUCUAUCCUACCAUACCGCAUGGCCCCGCCGGAGUUGAAAGAAUUGAAGGAGCAGUUACAAGACUUGCUUGAUCAGGAAUUCAUUAGACCCAGUGUCUCUCCCUAGGGUGCACCGGUACUAUUUGUAAAGAAGAAAGAUGGAUCUAUGCGGAUGUGUAUAGAUUAUCGGUAGUUGAACAAGGCCACUCUCAAAAACAAGUAUCUGUUGCCAAGAAUUGAUGACUUAUUCGAUCAGCUUAAGGGUGCCAAGGUAUUUUCAAAAAUUGACUUGAGGUUUGGUUACCAUCAGUUGAAGAUUAGGGCAUCUGAUGUCCCUAAGACAACUUUUCUUACUCGGUAUGCGUCUUACGAAUUCCUAGUGAUGUCAUUUGGGCUGACAAAUGCCCCAACAACAUUUAUGGAUUUGAUGAACCGAGUGUUCAAACCCUAUUUGGAUUCUUUUAUGGUUGUAUUCAUUGAUGAUAUCUUGAUUUACUCCAUCAUUCAAGAGGAGCAUGAGCAACAUCUUCGAAUUGUGCUUCAGACUUUGAAGAAUAAUCAGUUAUAUGCCAAAUUUUCAAAAUGCAAAUUUUGGUUAGACUCAGUUGCCUUUUGGGUCAUGUUGUAUCGGCAGAAGGCAUAAAAGUAGAUCCUAAGAAGAUUGAGGCAGUUCAGGAUUGGCCUAGACCUACUUCAGCUACAGAGAUCCGGAGUUUCCUGGGUUUGACAGGUUAUUAUCGCCGGUUUGUGGAGGGGGGGUUCAUCCAUAGCAUCCCCACUGACCACAUUGACGAAGAAGGGUGCCCUAUUUAGAUGGAGUGAGUUGAGCUUUCAGAAGCUCAAGACCGCUUUGACUACAGUGCCAGUGUUAAUAUUACUCAUAGGUUCAGGAUCUUAUACGGUGUAUUGUGACGCAUCUCGCAUUGGGCUUGGUGCAGUAUUGAUGCAAGAUGGUAGGGUGAUUGCAUAUGCGUCACGAUAGUUAAAAGUUCACAAGAAGAAUUAUCUUGUUCAUGAUUUAGAAUUGGUAGCCAUUGUCCAUGCUUUGAAGAUUUGGAGGCAUUACUUUUAUGGUGUCUCGUGUGAAGUAUUCACUGAUCAUUGUAGCCUACAGUAUCUGUUCAGGCAAAAAGAUCUCAAUUUGAGGCAUAGAAGAUGGUUGGAGAUGUUUAAAGACUAUGAUAUUACCAUUUUGUAUCACCUCGAAAAGGCCAAUGUGGUGGUCGAUGCUUUGACUAGAAAGUCUGUGAGUAUGGGCAGUCUUGCGUAUAUCUGGUUGGUGAGAGACCGUUAGCUGCAGAUGUUCAGACUUUGGCUAAUCAGUUCGUGAGGUUAGAUGUUUUAGAACCCAGCCGGGUUCUAGCUUGCACAGUCGUUCGGUCUUCUUUAUAUGAGCGUAUCAGAGAGAGACAAUAUGAUGAUCCUCAUUUGCUUGUCCUUAAGGACAUGGUGCGGCACGGUGAUGCCAAACAGGUUGCUGUGGGGGAAGAUGGAGUUCUGCGAAUGCAGGGUCGUAUUUGUGUGCCUAAUGUGGAUGGGCUUUGUGAAUUAAUUCUUGAAGAGGUACACAGUUCCUGGGAUUCUAUUCAUCCAGGUGCCGCCAAAAUGUAUUAAUAUUAAUGGCAACAUUAUUGGUGGAGGAGAAUGAAUAAGGAUAUAGUUGCAUAUGUAGCUCAGUGUCUAAAUUGUCAACAAGUCAAAUACGAGUAUCACAGAUCUAGUGGUUUGCUUUAGAAGUUAGAAAUUCCUGAGUUGAAGUGGAAGCGUAUCACUAUGGAUUUUGUUGUUGGGCUCCCACGGACUCAGAGAAUAUUUGACGCAGUUUGGGUCAUUAUGGAUAGGUUGACCAAGUCAGCACAUUUCAUUCCAGUAGCAGUUACCUAUUCUUCAGAGCGGUUAGCGGAGAUUUACAUCCGCGAGAUUGUCCGCCUUCACGGUGUGCCCGUGUCUAUCAUUUCUGAUCGAGGUACGCAGUUCACUUCGCACUUCUGGCUGUACAGCGUGAGUUAGGCACGCAGGUUAAGUUUGAGUACAGUAUUUCAUCCACAGACAGAAGCACAGUCAGAGCGCGCUAUUCAGAUAUUGGAAGAUAUGCUUCGCGCUUGUGAUAUAGACUUUGGAGGUUCUUGGGAUCAGUUCUUGCCACUUUUGCCUAUAAUAAUAGCUACCAGUUGAGCAUUCAGAUGGAUCCAUAUGAAGCAUUAUACGGAAGACGAUGCCGUUCACCAGUUGGAUGGUUUGAACCGGGAGAGGCUCGGUUGUGGGGUACUAAUUUGGUAUAGGAUACCUUGGAUAAGGUCAAAAUUAUUCAGGAUCGACUUCGCACAGCUCAGUUUAGGCAAAAGAGUUAUGCCGACCGUAAGGUUCGUGAUAUUGUGUUCAUGGUUGGAGAAAGAGUAUUUCUCCAGGUUUCACCUAUGAAAGGUGUAAUGAGGUUUGGAAAGAAGGGCAAGUUGAGCCCUAAGUAUAUAGGACCAUAUGAAAUUCUUGAAAGGGUGGGCGAAGUAGCCUACAGGCUUGCAUUACCACCUAGUUUAUCAGCGGUUCAUCCGGUGUUCCAUAUGUCUAUGCUCCGGAAAUUUCAUGGUAAUCCGUCCCAUGUGUUAUAUGUCAGCUCAGUCCAAUUGGACAAGGAUUUAACUUACGAAGAGGAGCCGAUAGCUAUUCUAGCCCGGCAGGUCCGAUAGUUGAGGUCUAAGAGUUAUCCUUUAGUUCGGGCGCAAUGGAGAGGUCAAUCAAUUGAGAUAGAUGCAUGGGAGUCCGAGUCAGACAUGCGGAGUAAAUAUAUACACCUUUUUACCAGCUCGGGUACUUUUCUAAUUUCGUUCGAAGACGAACGUUUGUUUUAGAGGUGGAGAAUGUGAUGACCCAACAGGUCAUCUUUAAAUUUAAUAAUUAUUUCUAUGUUCUGAGACCUCAAAUAGCACUAUUCAUCAUUCCUUGACUUGAGUGCAUAGUUCGUAUAAUUUUUCGGAAAGUUUUUAUAUGAAAAUUUGAUUUAAAAUGUGAAAUAGAGCCUUAAAACUCAAUUAAGUUGACUUUGGUCAAUAUUUUGAGCAAAGGAGCUAGAUCAGUAUUUUGACACUUCCGGUAGGUCCGUACUGUGAUUUGGGACUUGGGCGUAUGCCCGAAAUUUAAUUUGGAGGUCCCUAGCUCAAGUUAUGGCCAUUUAACGGGAAUUAGAAAUUUAAAGGCUAAAGAUUUCCAAAGUUUGACCACGAAUUUGAAUUUUUAAUAUCGGGGUCAGAAUCCGAUUCUGAAAAUUUGAAUAGGCCCGUUACGUUAUUUAUGACUAGUGUGCAAAAUUUGAGGUCAAUCGGACUUGAUAUGAUAGGUUUCGGCAUCGAAGGUAGAAGUUGAAAAGUUUUAAGUUCCUUGAGCUUGAAUUGGGGUAGGAUUCACGGUUUUAAAGUUGUUUGAUGUGAUUUGAGGUCUCAACUAAAUUCGUAUGAUGUGUUAGAACUUGUUGGUAUAUUUGGUUGAGGUCCCUGGGGCCUCGGGUGGAUUCCGGAUGGUUAACGAAUCAAAAUUUGGACUUAAGGAAAAUUUGAAAUUUUGGCCUUCUGUUGUAAUCGCACCUGCGGAUUUUAGACCGCAGAUGCGAGCUCGCAGAAGCGAGACAUGCCUUGCAGAAGCAGAUAGUCCAUAGAAGCGGACGGGCUAUCGCAGAAGCGCGACCGCAGAAGCGGUCCACGCGUCAUAGAAGCAGGCAAAGAGGGAAGGGGCAGCCUUGCGCAGAAGCGGACUCUUCUUCGCAGAAGCGAGUUCGCAAAAGCGAGCCAGCCCGCUGAAGCGACCACAACUUCCUCAAAAGCGUAACCACAGAUGCGGUAAAGUGUCCGCAGAUGAGUAAAAGGCCUGGACAGAACCCAUAAAAUCGAAAGUUAGCCAUUUUUGCUCAUUUUUGAGUUUUGAGUCUCUGAUUUAGGCGAUUCCAAAUGGAUUUUUCACGACUAUGAAUUUGGUAAGUGUUCUAUAACCAAGAGUGAUUAUAUUUCAUAAAUCCAUGUCUAUAUUCAUUAUUUAUUUUGGAUUUAAAAGGAAGAAAUUGGAAUUUUUGUAAAAGUUUUCAAAAACGAAAAUUUAUGAUUUGAAGGUCCAUUGACAUCGGAAUUUGAUAAUUUUGUAUGGUUGGACUCGUCUCGGAACGGGUGUUCGAAUUUCGUAAGUUUUUUCGAGAUUCGAGACGUUGGCCCCACUGUUGAUUUUUUAGAUGAAUUUCGGAUUUUAAUCCGAAAAAUUAGUAAAUUCAUAUGGAAUUAAUUCCUAUGAUUUGUAUUGAGUAUAUUGAAUUGUUUAUGACUAGAUUUGAGGACUUCAGACAUGAAUUCGCGAGGCAAAUAUUUAUUGAAAUCUUGAAUUUGGUUGCAAGUGAGGUAAGUAUCGUGGUUAACCUUGACUUGAGGGAGUAGGAUUUAUUUGUCUAUUUGCUACAUGAUUUAAUGUGCGGGUACAACGUAUAUGUGAGGUGACGAGUACUUAUGCGUUGUGGUUGAGUCAAAGCAUGCUGGAGGAAUUUAUUUCAUUUUGAAUAAUUGCUUAUUUAAUUAAGAUAUUCCUACUUAAGUUUAUUAUUGAUUAUUAUUAAUGAAAGUUUUAUUGAUUUAAUUAUUGUUGAAUAUGGUGAGAAAGAGUGUAAAAGCACGAAGGGUGAUACUAUACCAUUUUUAUUAUUUAUACUAUCAUUGUCAUGGUAAGAAAGAGUGUAAAAGUACGAAGAGUGUUGCCGUGUCAUUUUUUAGUGUAAAAGCACGAAGGGUGAUGCCGUGCCAUUUUCAGAGAGUAUAAAAGCACGAAGGGUGAUACCGUGCCAAAAGAGAGUUAAAGCACGAAGGGUAAUGUCGUGCCAAUUAUUAUUAUUUAUUUAUCAGUUUAUGGGAGGAAUGAGAGUAGAAGUACGAAGGGUGGUGCCGUACCAUUUUCAUAUCAUCAGUUGCUCAUUUAAUUGCUGAGGAAUUAAUUGACUGCUAAGUGAUAAUUCUCCUACUGAAAUUAUUAUAUCAACCCCCUUUGCACGUUCCCUCCUAAAUUUAUAAAGUGUUAUUUAUUGUUUUUAUUGUUGCUUCGUAUUUGUAUAUAUUGUACAGGUUGUUAACGUACGUGUCCUGUCAUAGCCUCGUCCUACUUCGUUGAAGCUAAGCUCGACACUUAUGAAGUAUAUGGGGUCGGUUGUACUCAUACUAUACUUUGCACUGCUUGUGCAGAUUUUGGAGUUGGUCCCAGCGGUGUAUCAUAGACGUGCUCGGAUUCAGUUACUCAGAGGAGACUUGAGGUAUAACUGCACAGCGUUCGCAAUUCUGAAGUCCCCUUCUAUCUUAUCUUAGCUGUGUAUUAUCUUUCAAACAACUUGAAUAAAAUUCAGACCUUUAUUUGUAUUAUUCUAGUAGCUCGUGCACUUGUGACACCAGAUUCGGGGAUGUAUUGUGAUGAUUCGGUAGUUAUGGUCUUCCGCACUUUAUUUCAAUAAUUGACUUCUGUUUAAUUUAAUUUGCUUAAAAAUGGUUAAGAUUAUUUUAACGUUGUCUUGCCUAGCAAGUGAAAUGUUAGGCGUCGUGAAAAUUUCGGGUUGUGAUACUAACAACUAACUGUGGAAGAUCAAUACUCGAAGACCCCAUAUGAGAUCUCGUGGGGUUGUUGGUGUAAUAGAACAUGAUGAGGGUAAAGAGUGCUUUGUCCUAUAGUUACUUGAUCAAGGGUCAAUCAAAACUUUUUAGUGGAUAGCAUAAUGUCAUUCCUCCAUAAACUUGGUUUAAUUUAGCAAAGGAUACAGUAUAACAAAUUUUAAACAAUACCAUCAAAAUGGGUUUGGCCGUGCGACCAGCUUAACCUAGUCCACUGCUUAGGUAGGGUUGGGUAGGAUUUUUUGAGCUCAUUUGAAAGUGAGACUUAUAAUUGUGAUACAAGUUAGUCCGCUAGCCUUUGAGACUUGACUGAGACUGGGUCUAUGCCAGUCCGUGAGCCAAAAGUCUUGUUAAAUUCAAAUAUAAAUAUUUAAUAUAUAAAAGAAAAAGUAAAAAAUUUUAAAAACUAUUAACUAAAAUCUCCAAUCCUCAACCCUAGAUUGUUCAUUUGCCCUUCCAUAUUAACAAUUAAUGGAUGAUAUUAGAAUUUAGAUUUUUGAUAUACAUGUAGUAUGAUUAAUUUUUCUUUGCUUAGUUAAUAACGAACUAGGAAAGUUUGAAGUGGUCAAUAAUGAUUCUUUUUUCAAAAAAAAAUAUUCUCAAUGAUCAGUUUGAAUUAUUUUAAUAUAUUUUAAAUAAUUAAACUGCUCUCUAGUCCAUGAGAUGAUUAAUUUUCCAUACUUAGGAAAAAAUUUGACAAUAGUAGCAAAUUCCAUAAAUUUUAAAAGUUUUAUGGAUUAUGAUGAUAAAAUUAGCAAAUAAACUAAAACCCAAAUUAAAAGACCUCAUUAUAUAAAUUUAUCGAAGCAAUCCAUGAAAUUGAGGAAUUUGAAAAAACAAGCAUUAAAAAAAUUCAAGUAACGUUAGAAAAAGAGCUAGAGAUAUAGAAUUGCAUUUUAAUUACGAUAUUCAUUUUGUCAAAUAUCAAGCUUCUUGUACGGCUCUAAUAAAACAAAUGUUAUUUCGAGAUUAGGCGAUUAUGUCACGAAGAAAUCGAAGAUUUGAAAAAAAUAAAGGAUCGGCCCGUCGUAGCUCGCGACCCUCUUAGAGUGGGAGAAAUUCAAAAAUAGCCAGAUUUACAAAUGGUAAUUGAAAAAUAGCCACAUUUUUAAAAGUAAUCGAAAUUUAGCCACUUUUCAUGUAAAGAUAAAUCUGAACGAAAACACUAUUCAAAAUCCGAAAAAUAUUCUAGUAUAAUAUACUGGAGUACUGGAACUCCAGCAUAAUAUACUGGAGUUCCAGUAUAAUAUAUCGGUCCAGCAUAAUAUGUUGGAAGUUUAUACAAAAGUGCUCCAAUUUCUAGUAUAUUAUGCUGGAACUUUCUGCGUGUUGGAGUUCCAGCAUAAUAUACUGGAAGUUCAUACACAGGUGCACUAAUCUCCAGUAUAUUAUGCUGGACCGGUCCGUGUUGCAGUAAAAUAGUUGCUAUUUUUCAAUAACUUUGCAAACGCUGGCUAUUUUUAAAUUACCAGUCCGAAAACUGGUUAGCCCGUGCUAUUUUUACUCUUAGAGUUGGGUUGGGCUAACAUUUUUAAGGCUCAUUCAAAUGGCGGGCCUAGCCCACUAAAUUCAAAGGCACGUGAGGCUUGGACUGCCGUUUUGACAGCUCUAUUCUUACUUCCAUCUCUUUACAAACGAUUAUUUGUAUAUAUAAACUACAAUGUUAAUAUAUAGAAGCUAAACUCUUAUGGUAAAUGGGGGCAUUUUGCUGACCCGGUUAAUAAGCAGAACAGGAAAUAGAACAUGUAAAAAAACAAGUACUAGCUGCAAACAUGCUACUAGAAUUAGAUAAAUAAUUGGUGGCUGAAACCUUUUAAAGAGUUGUAUUGCAGGAGAAGUGUGAAGUAGCGGUGGUCAAUAAUACAAAUCAUGUCUCCUGCGUGUUAUGGUUUAGCAACGGCUUUAAUUAGAUGUGUCAAUCGAUAUUUAAAAAUCGACUAAACCGAUCGAACCGUACCAUAUCGAAUUGAUUUUUAGGUUUUUUUUUAAUAAAAUCGUAGGUUUUUAUAUAAAUCUACAAACGUACCAAUAAUUAGGGUUUUUUUAAUGAAAAUAAACUGAAAAAAUACCGAACCGUACAGAAUAAAUUCAGAUGUGAAAAAUAUAUUUAUAUAUUAAGUUUAAAAAUAUAAAUUUUUUCUUGGUCCUUUGAAUUAUAAAAAUAGUUACUAGCCAACAAGUAAUUAAAAUCAAAAUCUUAAUUCUCAAACCUAUUAUGCUACUCCUACUAAAACUAAGCCCCCGUUUGGCCAUAGAUUUUGCCAAAUUUUUUUCAAAAUUAUUUUGACAAAUACUUGUUAGUUUAUAGAUUUUAUCCAUAUUUUUGCAAAUAUUCAAAUCCCAAAACCAGCUCAAGAGUUGUUUUUGGCCCAAAAUAUUAUAUUUGGUUUUUAAAAAAAAAUUCAAAAACUGCCCUAAACUUUUAUAUUUUAUAAAAAAAAUCCACUUUCUGUUAUUAUGACCCAACUAAUCCAUAUCUACCUAUUUUUCCCUCAUUAAACUCACGUGGCUUUGCCCUUCUCUAUAAACAAAAGAAAAUCUUCGCCAAAGUUGUUGUGCCAAUCUGUGGCAAUCUACUGCAAAAAUAAAAUUUAAAGAUAAUUUGCUAAAAUCUGUUAAUGUUUGUAUAAAUUUUCUUCAGAUUUGUUUCUCUUGUUUUGUAUGAAUUUUUUUCAGAUUUGUUUCGCUUGUUUUGUAUUUGUUGGGUAUUUUUGAUAGUUUUUAAAACUUAUGGGUAUAAGUCACAUUUCAUAUUUUUUAAAGACAAAAUUGAAAUAUGUUUUGAAAAAUUAUGUCCAAACAGAUUUUCAUCUUCAAACCAACCUUCAUCCAAAUCAGAUAUUUUAAAACAAAUUUGGGAAUUUAUGGCCAAACGCUAGCUAAAUUAUUUCUAGCAUAUUCAUUAGCAAGACACAAAGUAUUCUAGCGAUUAUGAGUAGCAAACUACAAUGUAUUGAAUAUGUUUUCUUUCGUAUGAUUUAGAUUUAUCUUUUUAAAUAUUUAAUCUUUUACAGACUUUAUUCUUGAGUCUCAGCUUGGUUAAUAUCUUUCUACUCGUGUGAUUUAUCUUUUCUUUGUCUUUGUUUAGUUUAUUUACGUUGUUGUAGAGUAGUUAAUGGAUUUAUAUUCUGGUCAUCUUUCAUAUUUUCUUAAUUUAUCACCAUUUAAAUAGUAAAAUUAUCUAGAGAGUUUGCUAAGUCCUAUGUAUGUAUGUAUGUAUGUAUGUAUGUAUGUAUGUAUGUAUAUUAUUGCAUUCUACUGUUACUAGUGACUUGUACAUGAUAUUUAAAAAAAUACCGAAAAUUAAACGAACUGUACCGAUACCAAAGAGCAAACGAUAUGAUUGGUAUGGUUUCGAAAAGUCUAAUUUUAGUUAUACAUAAUAGACUAAUCGAAAAAUUGGUAUGAUACAGAUUUUAUAAAAUAAUCGGCCGAACCGAAGCGUUGACACCCCUACUUCUUAGAACUUAGAGGUUGAACUCGACCUUCCCCCUUCUUUUUUACCAACUAGUUCCAAUAAUAGUUCACUUCACUUGGGUGAAAACUAAUACUUCAUUUGUCUCAAUUAAUUUGUUAUGCUUUCUUUAGUUUAUUCCGAAAAGAAUAUCAAACUCCUUUAUUAAAAAAAAUUUAACUUUAAUCUUUUUAUUUUAAACUUAAUGAAAUAAUUUAUUGUCAAACAAAUGUUUACAACUUGUUUUAAACCUAAAGUAGUCUUUCUUUUUUUCUUAUAACUCCGUACUCAGUCAAACACUAUCACAUAAAUUGAGACUGAACUUUGAAAUUGUGAUGACCUAAUAUACCAUCUUUAAUUUUAAAUAUUUAUUUCAUUGUUCUGAGAUCUCAAAAAGUACUAUUCAGUAUUCCUCGACUUACGUGCGCAGUCCGUAAAUUUUUACGAAAAGUUUUUAUAUGAAAAAUUGAUUAAAAUGUGAAAUGGAGCUUUAAAACACAACUGAGUUGACUUCGGUCAACGUUUUGAGCUAACCGACCCGGAUCAAUAUUUAUGACAGUUUCGGUUGAUCUGUAUCGUUAUUUAGGAUUUGGACGUAUGCCCGAAAUCAAAUUUGAAGGUCCCUAGCUCAAAUUAUAGGCAUUUAACGGAAACUAUAAAUUUAAAGGUUUAAGAAUUUCUAAAUUUGGUCAUAAUUGGGUUUUUGUUGAUACCAGGUCCCGAUUUAGAUUCCGAGAGUUCGAUCAGCUUCGUAAAUAUAUUUAUGACUUAUGUACUAAAUUUGAAGUUAUUCCGAGGUACGUAGGCAUGUUUUCCGUUAGUUUUUGAAAAAAAAAAGAUUUGAUUUUAUAAAGCUUGAAUUUCUAAAGUUUGACCGGAGAUUUGACUUUUGAGCAAAUGACCCCGGAAUGAAAUUUUGAUGAUUUCAAUAAUUUUGUAUGGUGAUUUCGGAUUUAGGCGCAUGUUCGGAUUUGGAUUUGGAAGUCCGUAGGACAAUUUGGCGCAUUUUGGCGAAAGUUGAAAAAUAUAAGACUUUUAGAAAGUUUGAUCGGGAGUUGACUUUAUUGAUAUCGGGGUCGGAAUUUGAUUCUGGAAAUUGGAACAACUCCAUUAUAUCAUUUACGACUUGCAUGUAAAAUUUGAGUUCAUUCUGAAUUGAUUUGGCAUGUUUCGGCGCGAGUUAUAGAAUUAAAAAUUUCAUAAACUCAUAAGUCCGAAUUGACGCGCGAUUUGUAGUUUCGCCAUUGUUAUGUGUGAUUUGAGACCUCGAGUAGGUCCAUAAUAUAUUUUGAGACUUGUUGGUGUGUUCGAAAGGGGUCCCGAGGGGCUCGGGUGAGUUUCGGAGUGGUUUCGGACCAUUUUUAGGUCAUUUUUAACUGUUGGUUUUUCACAGCAGUGUGCGAAAUUUCUAAUGCGCAGAGUUGACUUUGGAAGCUUAUAUCUCGCAAUCUAUAAGGAAUCUAGAAAUUAUCAAAACAUGAAAGUUGUAACCCUUUGAUUCUAGUUUCUAGAAAGUAAACCAUUCAUCGUUUGGACAUUUAUACAGAAAGUUAUGAUCGAUUGACUGAAGGUUGGUACCGUAAUUUUUGGCUUGAAAAUUUUGAGACAAGUCGCAUCUCACAUAUGCGACUUGCCUGGACAAUAUAUAUGUCCAGAGUCCGAUACUUUUGUUCAUAUUUAGAGUUUUAGACCUCGAUUUUGGGCGAUUUCAUAGGCAUUUUUUACGAGUUUGAGUUGGGUAAGUAUUCUUUAUCCGAAAUUAGUUAUAUUUCAUGAUUCCAUACUCAUUUACAUCAUGAAUCAAAUUUUUAUAAAAUCUUCCAAAAAUAAAAAUUUAAGAUUUGAAAGCCAAUCCGAUAUCAGAAUUCGAUAAUUUUUGUAUGGUUAAACUCGUAUCGGAACGGAUGUUCAAAUUUCGUGAGUUUUUCCUGGAUUCGAGACGUGGGUCACACUGUCUGUUUUUAAAAUAAAUUUCGGAUUUUAAUCCGAAAAAUUAGUAAUUUCAUAUAUAAUUAAUUCCUACGGUUCGUGUUCAGAAUAUUGAAUUGUUUGUGACUAGAUUUGAAGCUUUCGGACAUCAAUUCGCGAGGCAAAAGUUUAUUGGAAUCUUGAAUUUGGUUGCGAAGCGAGGUAAGUAUCGUGGUUAACCUAGACUUGAGGGAAUAGAACCCUUGAAUUAUUGUUACGUGAAUUUCAUGUGUAACGACGUAUAGGCGAGGUGACGAGUGAUUAUACGUCAUCAAAUUGAUUGUUUGCACAUUUAUCUGAAAAUCAUAAAUUAUUUUAAAUCAUGAAUUAAUUAUUAUAUUAAUUAUUUUUCUCAUAUUCCUUGCUCAAUAUUAUGCCUUGAAUCCAUGCUAUAUUUGCUACAUGCUUAUUUGAUUUAUGUGACUUAAUUAUUACUUGACACUUAGCAUACUAAAUAUUAAAUUGCCUAUUUCCUCCUUAAUUUUAACAAUUAAUGUUUCACUUGUCAUCACUUGUUUCUAAAUAAAUCAUAAUUAUUAUAUGCUUGUUGUCUUAUAAUUUCAUAUUAAUUAUUGCAUUUAUUGGAAUAAUUUCUUUUAUAAGAAUUGGUAAAUUAUAUUAUUGAGGAGCGGGUUGCACACCACAACAGAAAUUAAAGUGAAUAUAUUGGAGGAACGGNNNNNNNNNNNNNNNNNNNNNNNNNNNNNNNNNNNNNNNNNNNNNNNNNNNNNNNNNNNNNNNNNNNNNNNNNNNNNNNNNNNNNNNNNNNNNNNNNNNNNNNNNNNNNNNNNNNNNNNNNNNNNNNNNNNNNNNNNNNNNNNNNNNNNNNNNNNNNNNNNNNNNNNNNNNNNNNNNNNNNNNNNNNNNNNNNNNNNNNNNNNNNNNNNNNNNNNNNNNNNNNNNNNNNNNNNNNNNNNNNNNNNNNNNNNNNNNNNNNNNNNNNNNNNNNNNNNNNNNNNNNNNNNNNNNNNNNNNNNNNNNNNNNNNNNNNNNNNNNNNNNNNNCGAGGUUAGGCUCGGCACUUACUAGGUACAUGGGGUCGGUUGUACUCAUACUACACUCUGCACUUCUUAUGCAGAUAUCGGAGUUGGUCCCAGCGGCGUACAGUAGAUUUGCUCGGAUUCAGCUAUCCAGAGGAAACUUGAGGUAUAGCUGCACGGCGUUCGCAGCUCUAAAGUCCCCAUCUACUUUAUUUUAGCUGUGUAUUUCUGUCGGACAAUUUUACUUUCAUUCAGACCCUUAUUUGUAUUAUUCUAGUAGUAGUUCGUGCACUUGUGACACUAGAUCUGAGAUGGUAUUUAGACAUCGUUAUUACUAUGGUUUACUCACUUUAUUUCAGAUUGUAUUCCAGUUAUUAGUUUCUUUAUUAUUAAUUAAAUUAAAUUAUUAAAAAAAAUAGUUAAAAUUAUUCCAACGUUGGCUUGUCUAGCAAGUAAAAUGUUAGGCGUCAUCACGGUCCCGAAGGUGGGAAUUUCAGGUUGGGACAGAAAUACUCUGUUCCGAUAAUGAAGUAACUGAAAACAAGCAGAAAGUUUUCGACCGAAAAUAGAUGCAUUUGCAAUGAAGUGCCAUUUAUCUCUAGCCAUUAUAUUGGGACUUCAACAUUGGGAGGGCCCGACACAGUAAAUCCUCUGUUAAAAAAAUUGUAAACGUCAUAGUGCAGUAGAAAGAAAACAAGAAAAAUGUUAUCCAGAUUUCUCCAUUUUACAAAAUGACAUACCAAGUCAACCCGAAUUUUCACUGGUCGUAGCAAUACUAACAAGAUCCAGUGACCGGUUGACUAUGCAGAGUCAUUUGUUUUUCUAGGAGAUUUACAAAUUUUCUCAUAUCUACAUUCAAAAUGUUUUUUUUUAUCUUGUUUUCUUCUUUGGGAAAAGAGGGGUUCAAUUAAUACAAAAAAAAAAUGGAAGAAAAUCUAG
rnacentral:lncRNA from 1 species